rnacentral:lncRNA from 10 species
UUCUCUCUCUCAAUCUGAUUUCUCCAGAAUGUGGAAACUAUUUGAACAGACUGCAGAUUGAAUUCCUACAUAGGCUAUUCCAGAAUUCUUACGAGACUUGCAUUAGGACAUCAGCAACAGGAGCAAGAUUAUUUCUAAAAGUCAAUAAAGGAUAUCCCAGAGGAAUUGAGGAAAAAUGGGAUGAGGACUUCAGUAAAACAUACUUUGGUGACAAACAUUUUGAUAUAAAAUUUUGUAAAAGCACACACAUCCUGAUGGGAAGAGGAUGAGCACGGAUCUAACAAUGUCAACUGUGCUGACAUCAUCCUAGCUGUGCAGGGCUGAUGGGAAUUCAGAAUAUCAAACAUCAUAUCAAGGGCAGUGAGCAGGUAUCAUCUAGUGAACUGUUCAGAUGCAACUGAAUUGAAAAGGAGCUGAACAAAAGAUCCUGAGAGAGGUCUGAUGAGACUGCUUUGGUAUUACCAAAUAUAUACAGCAUUUCUGUAUUCUAGCAGAGUAUAUUGCUUGGUACGAGAGAAGGGGUGCAUGAUAAAUGCUCAAUAAUUGCUCCUUGGGUGAAUAAUA